rnacentral:rRNA from 1 species
GGGGAAUAUUGGACAAUGGGCGAAAGCCUGAUCCAGCCAUGCCGCGUGAGUGAAGAAGGCCUUCGGGUUGUAAAGCUCUUUUGUUGGGAAAGAAAAGCAGCCGGUUAAUACCCGGUUGUUCUGACGGUACCCAAAGAAUAAGCACCGGCUAACUUCGUGCCAGCAGCCGCGGUAAUACGAAGGGUGCAAGCGUUACUCGGAAUUACUGGGCGUAAAGCGUGCGUAGGUGGUUCGUUAAGUCUGAUGUGAAAGCCCUGGGCUCAACCUGGGAAUUGCAUUGGAUACUGGCGGGCUAGAGUACGGUAGAGGGUGGCGGAAUUCCUGGUGUAGCAGUGAAAUGCGUAGAUAUCAGGAGGAACAUCCGUGGCGAAGGCGGCCACCUGGACCAGUACUGACACUGAGGCACGAAAGCGUGGGGAGCAAAC